CCUACGGGUGGCAGCAGUGAGGAAUAUUGGUCAAUGGGCGUGAGCCUGAACCAGCCAAGUCGCGUGAGGGAUGACGGUCCUAUGGAUUGUAAACCUCUUUUGUCGGGGAGCAAAAGACGCCACGCGUGGCGUUCCGUGAGUACCUGAUGAAAAAGCAUCGGCUAACUCCGUGCCAGCAGCCGCGGUAAUACGGAGGAUGCGAGCGUUAUCCGGAUUUAUUGGGUUUAAAGGGUGCGUAGGCGGACGUUUAAGUCAGCGGUAAAAUUGAGAGGCUCAACCUCUUCGAGCCGUUGAAACUGGUUGUCUUGAGUGAGCGAGAGGUAUGCGGAAUGCGUGGUGUAGCGGUGAAAUGCAUAGAUAUCACGCAGAACUCCGAUUGCGAAGGCAGCAUACCGGCGCUCAACUGACGCUGAUGCACGAAAGUGUGGGGAUCGAACAGGAUUAGAUACCCUAGUAGUU
rnacentral:rRNA from 1 species